rnacentral:rRNA from 1 species
AACGAACGCUGGCGGCAUGCCUAACACAUGCAAGUCGAACGAGACCUUCGGGUCUAGUGGCGCACGGGUGCGUAACGCGUGGGAACCUGCCCUUAGGUUCGGAAUAACUCCCCGAAAGGGGUGCUAAUACCGGAUAAUGUCUUCGGACCAAAGAUUUAUCGCCUUUGGAUGGGCCCGCGUUGGAUUAGCUAGUUGGUAGGGUAAAAGCCUACCAAGGCGACGAUCCAUAGCUGGUCUGAGAGGAUGAUCAGCCACACUGGGACUAAGACACGGCCCAGACUCCUACGGGAGGCAGCAGUGGGGAAUAUUGGACAAUGGGCGAAAGCCUGAUCCAGCAAUGCCGCGUGAGUGAUGAAGGCCUUAGGGUUGUAAAGCUCUUUUACCCGGGAUGAUAAUGACAGUACCGGGAGAAUAAGCUCCGGCUAACUCCAUG